AAAAAAAUUGAGUUUGAUCCUGGCUCAGAG
rnacentral:rRNA from 1 species